UGAAUACGAGACGCUAAGGCGUCGAAGUAGUGUAUGUCAUACUUCCAAGAAAAGCUUGCACUGUCAUAGAUAAAAAACGCCUGUACCAUAACCGACACAGGUGGGUAGGUAGAGUAUACUAAGGGGCGCGAGAUAACUCUCUCUAAGGAACUCGGCAAAAUAACUCCGUAACUUCGGGAGAAGGAGUGCCUUAUUCGUAAGGUUGCAAUAACAAGAUCCAAGCAACUGUUUAUCAAAAACACAGGUCUCCGCUAAGUCGUAAGACGAUGUAUGGGGGCUGACGCCUGCCCAGUGCCAGAAGGUUAAAGAAGUUGGUUAGCAAUUGCGAAGCUGAUAACUGAAGCCCUGGUGAACGGCGGCCGUAACUAUAACGGUCCUAAGGUAGCGAAAUUCCUUGUCGGGUAAGUUCCGACCCGCACGAAAGGCGUAAUGAUUUGGAUACUGUCUCGGAGAGGGGCUCGGUGAAAUAGACUUGUCUGUGAAGAUGCGGACUACCUGCACCAGGACAGAAAGACCCUAUGAAGCUUUACUGUAACUUGAAAUUGAAAUUGGACUUUAUUCGCGCAGUAUAGGUGGGAGGCGUUGAUUAUAAUCUUGUGGGAUUAUUGGAGCCAUCAGUGAGAUACCACUCUUGUAAUGUUAGAUUUCUAACUUUGAAUCAUUAUCUGGUCAAAGAACAGUUUCAGGCGGGCAGUUUGACUGGGGCGGUCGCCUCCUAAACGGUAACGGAGGCGUACAAAGGUUUCCUCUGAACGGUUAGAAAUCGUAUCUAGAGUGUAAAGGCAUAAGGAAGCUUGACUGUGAGACCUACAAGUCGAGCAGGGACGAAAGUCGGUCUUAGUGAUCUGACGGUACUGAGUGGAAAGGCCGUCACUCAACGGAUAAAAGUUACUCUAGGAUAACAGGCUGAUCUCCCCCAAGAGUUCACAUCGACGGGGAGGUUUGGCACCUCGAUGUCGGCUCAUCGCAUCCUGGGGCGGUAGUACGUCCCAAGGGUUGGGCUGUUCGCCCAUGAAAGCGGUACGCGAGCUGGGUUCAGAACGUCGUGAGACAGUUCGGUCCAUAUCCGGUGUAGGCGUUAGAAUAUUGAGAGGAGCCUUCUUUAGUACGAGAGGACCGAGAAGGACAUACCUCUGGUGUACCAGUUAUCGUGCCAACGGUAAACGCUGGGUAGCUAUGUAUGGAGUGGAUAACCGCUGAAAGCAUCUAAGUGGGAAGCCCACCUCAAGAUAAGUAUUCUCAUCAG
rnacentral:rRNA from 1 species